GUUUUAAUAAUUUAAAAAAAAUAUUGAUUUUGUAAAUCAAAACUAAGUGUAUACUUUUAAAACU
rnacentral:tRNA from 1 species